UCAUCUUUGCCUGGCCCUAAUCUUUACAAAGUCCUCGGAAUGGUGAGUCAAAUCUUUCUCCCCUUCAUAGUCAUCCACUUGUAAGGACAAUGGGCUGUAGGUCAUACCAGUCUUCAUGACAGUAUCCAGAAGUUUCACUGGCCUAAGGUUGUGAGCAAUUUCACCUCCACAUUCCUUUCAGCUAAGCUAUAGACUCGUUAAACGGUUCUGCAUGCCAACAAAACUAAAACAUCAUACCAACAAAACUACAAGUAUCAACAGGUCUGGAUGUUCAGUAAAAAAGAGACCCAUGAAGGGGUGCAGUUGCCACAUCCUAAUGAUUUCAUCCCCAUCACCCUGACCAAUCGAUGACCCCCAAAUUUCCAGCCCCUCACCCUUCACAAAUCCCUUUAAAAACCUUUGCCCAGAAUCCCUUCAUGAAACAUAUUUGGAGUUUCAGUAUUCCUCUCGUUUCUUCUCUUGGUGACUUGGAAUUAUUAAA